UUUUCCCCUCGUUCUGUGCUUUAAAUACAAUUUCUUCUUCUUCCUUCAAUUUCUCCACAAUUUUCUCCAUAUUUGUAAUUUCAAACUACCAGCUUCUUCUAUCACACACAUCAUUGCGUUUUUUCAAACUAUUUCAAAAAUUUCAAGAAUUUUGGUUCAAUCAAUGGAUGCCCAAUCUCCAUCGAAAAGAUUCACAAGAGGUAUACCAUUGCAUGUUGAAAUUGAUGUUGAACACCCAUCAUUUUCAUUGGGUCUAACUCAGGAAUUUGGAGAGAUCUCAGGUUCAUUGUCUAAAUCUACUACCAUUCAAGAGAUAAGAUCCAAAUUCAAUAAUGACCCAAGUAGAUUUGUUGAUGGAGGUGUAAAGAAUCCUGUCGAUGUUGUUACUGGGUCAAGUAAGAAAAGAAAACAUAAAACUGAUGUUUAUACCGUUCAUAAUGAUAAAAAUGAAGCUGUUGGUUCUGGGUCAAUCGAGCAUCAUAAGAUAUUUGUAUAAUCAUUAUUCAUGUAUAUGUUUAGAUUUUAUAUUAUAUGUUUUGUUUUUGUGUUGAAUCAUGUUUUAUACAAUUGUAAUUGUAUAAAUGUAUAAUCUAUAUUAGUAUAUGUUUUUGUGUUUCUGUUAA